UAGGGAAUCUUCCACAAUGGGUGCAAACCUGAUGGAGCAAUGCCGCGUGAGUGAAGAAGGUCUUCGGAUCGUAAAGCUCUGUUGUUAGAGAAGAACACGUGCUAGGUAACUACUAGCGCCUUGACGGUAUCUAACCAGAAAGUCACGGCUAACUACGUGCCAGCAGCCGCGGUAAUACGUAGGUGACAAGCGUUGUCCGGAUUUAUUGGGCGUAAAGGGAGCGCAGGCGGUCUGUUUAGUCUAAUGUGAAAGCCCACGGCUUAACCGUGGAACGGCAUUGGAAACUGACAGACUUGAAUGUAGAAGAGGAAAAUGGAAUUCCAAGUGUAGCGGUGGAAUGCGUAGAUAUUUGGAGGAACACCAGUGGCGAAGGCGAUUUUCUGGUCUAACAUUGACGCCGAGGCUCGAAAGCGUGGGGAGCGAACAGGAUUAGAUACCCUGGUAGUCCACGCCGUAAACGAUGAGUGCUAAGUGUUGGGGGCUUUCCGGCCCUCGGUGCUGGAGCUAACGUAUUAAGCACUCCGCCUGGGGAUUACGACCGCAAGGUUG
rnacentral:rRNA from 1 species